UACGAAGGGGGCUAGCGUUGUUCGGAAUUACUGGGCGUAAAGCGUGCGCAGGCGGCUUCUCAAGUCAGGGGUGAAAGCCCAGAGCUCAACUCUGGAAUUGCCUUUGAGACUGAGUGGCUUGAGUACGAGAGAGGUGAGUGGAAUUCCCAGUGUAGAGGUGAAAUGCGUAGAGAUCGGAAGGAACGUCGAUGGCGAAGGCAGCCACCUGGCAUAAUACUGACGCUGAGGCGCGAAAGCGUGGGGAGCGAACAGG
rnacentral:rRNA from 1 species